CCGGCAGCUCCACUCUCUCCCCUUCUGCCACCUGGGUGCCUCUUUUCUUCUGGGCGGGGUCCUCAAGUCUGUCCUUCAGCCUCCACCCCACUCUGCACUCCUGAGAUUGCUCCAUUUCUCAGGACACUCGGCACUUCCUGGGAGCUCUGAUGGCUGCUGCUGGUAUCACAACCUGGAGCCACAUGCUCAGGGGACUCCAGGGCUGACAAGGAAGGGAAGGGCAGAGGGACCAGGCAAUGGAGAGAGGGAGCCGCCUGCUGGAAGGCGGCGUCCAGGGUCAAGAAGCUUGUCCAAGGAGCACCUGUGCUCAUGUCUGCCAACCCCAGAGGUUUCUCACAGCCCCCAGCCACAGCCUGUUUGCCAGCCUCUGAGGGCGACACCGCCAUACAUCUCCUCUCACUCAGGGUGGCAGCUUUGCCUUGUGCAUCCCAGCCCGUCAUGGACGUUCUCUCUCAUCACCUUCCUGGGGCACCAUCGUACCUAGCUCCCUGUCCAUGGACACCCGAGUGAUUCUGUCUCAUCACACCAUCCCUGCCACAGGCUCAGCUCGGGCUGUGAUGAGAAGGCGCUGCUGUAACUGCCUCAGCUCCUACCACGUCAGACUGCGAGUGAGCAUCCAGCUCUGCAACCAGCCAGGUGGACGCAGACGCCGAAGGCUCCCUGUCUGAUUGUGGUGCAUCUUUGUUAAUAAUUAUUCCUGUAAAAACCUUGGACAGCAAAGAAGCCCACUGUUAACAAUAUCUGUAUACUUGGUGGCCUUCACAGUUUGAUCUGCUGUUAUAGAAACCAAAAGUGGACACAGACAGGCCACAGUGGACUCAAACCAG
rnacentral:lncRNA from 1 species